rnacentral:lncRNA from 1 species
GAAAGAGUAGCAAGGCUAUAACCAGGCUGCAGGUGUCUCAGAGUCAGCUCCACUACUCUCAUGCUGUACUAAGUUACUGGGCUAAGCUUCAGUUUUCUUAUUUGUAACAAAGAGGCCAUGUUCACUGCAGAGCCAUGUUAAAAAUCACAGUAGUAAAUAUACAGUGUUUAGAUAGUGCUUGGCAUAGUGAGAAGGUUGCAAGGGCUAUUCCCAUCAUCAGCAAUGUUUUGCACUGAGAUUGUUGCAUCUUACUCUCCAUGGCAUCAUUCAUGUCCUGCUCAAAUGUCAUCUCCUCACAGAACCACUCUGAUCCCCUUUUCCAAAUAACCCCACAAAUUGUGUAAACUUCCUAUUCCUUGGCCCAGUUUCAGGGCAAUUAUUAUUAUUAGAAUUUAAGUUUUAUGUUUAUUUGUUUAUUAUAUCUUCCACUCUCUCCAAAAUAAACCCUUGAAGAUAGGAUCUACUGUUUACUACAGAUUCUAAUGUGGGUUGUCGUGGAAUCAUGGUAUUGAAUUUUAGCUCUUUUCCAUCUGCUUUUCUUUCAACCUGUGUGGUCCAUCCGCUCAGGGCUUAAUACCAAGACUAACUAUAAAAUACGGGGAAGAGGCCGGGUGUGCCUGUAAUCCUAGCACUUUGGGAGGCUGAGGCAGGUGGAUCAUGAGGUCAUGAGUUCGAGACCAGCCAGGCCAACAUGGUGAAACCUUGUCUCUACUAAAAAUACAAAAAUUAGCCAGGUGUGGUGGCACAUGCCUGUAAUCCCAGCUACUCAGGAGGCUGAGGCAGGAGAAUUGCAUGAACCCGGAAGGCAGAGGUUGCAGUGAGCCGAGAUCACACCACUACACUCCAGCUGGGGUAACAGAGUCAGACUCCAUCUCAAAUAAAAAAAAAAUAUAUAUGGGGAAGGGGGCUGUGGUUUCCGACGUACCUUCAAAUAAAGAACAGUGAUGUGAAGAACCAAACACUUGACCAAUGGGACCUCCCAGCCCAUUCUAAGAAAUGGCAUGGGAAAAUCAAUCUAAGGAAUAAUGUGCUGGGAAGUCUGGACAUGCCACUGCGUGUGCGAGAGCCCAGAGGUCAUGUGGGCACUUGGAAAUGCUGACCUGCACAAUUAGCAUCACAAGCAUUUUUGUGGUCAUUAAAUACACAUGACAUAUUGAAGAGGACACAUUGAAGAAAAUUACUGUAAUGAAUGAUGAGCUUGGAGUUUAAACAGCAGAUCAUCCCUGGAUCAUCUGUCUCCAGGGAAUGAAGCUGGUGAGCUGAGGCCCUGUGGUGUUUAAAUAGCAGAUCAUCUCUGGAUCAUCUGUUUCCAGGGAAUGAAGCUGGUGAGCUGAGGCCUUGUGUUUAAAUAGCAGACCAUCCCUGGAUCUUCUAUUUCCAGGGAAUGAAACUGGUGAGCUGAGGCCCUGUGGUGGAACACAGACACUACACUCUGAACCCCGGAAGCAGGAUUCUUUCUUUUGAGAACUGUUAUUCAAAGCUACUUGAAAGUUAAUCUCUAAAACCAAAAACCACAAAACUACUCUUUCCAUGGAGCAACUCAGGUGAGAACUUAAAAACAAAUAUUUUAGGCACAGACAUUUCCUUAAAGUUCAUGUAUUUCCUUAAGUCUAUUCUAUUCUACUUUGUCUUCCUAAUCCAUCAUUUGUGUUUGUUUGUUUCCGUAGAUUUAAUUAAACAAACAACAUAUGGCUAAAAAUUAAUUUUGGCAUGUCUCAACGUGGACACCUGGAAUCAGCUAGCUGACUCAUUACUAAAAGAAAAGAUAACAGUUUCGAAAAGCUAAAAAUAAUAAUUGAAAGACCCACCUAUCUCAAAGUGAAUGUUAAGAAAAUACAUUUUUUAAGAAAGGAAGUGAUGAAUAUACCUAUAGCUAAUAUUAUGGGUGAACCUGACAAAUAGAAUACUGAGUAAAAGAAAAUAUAAAAAGUACAUCCUUUAGAGUUUUAUUUCUAUAAAGUUCAGAAACAGGUUAAAAGUAAUUAUGGCAUUAGAAGUUAGGCUCCUCUUGGUGGCAGCAAUUACUAGAAAUGAGCGUAAGUUAGGCUUCUAAAGUCCUCAAAACAUCCUCUACUUUCUUUUUAAGGCAGUUGCUGAAUAGCAGAAAUAUCUGUUCUUUUGAGGAUCUAUUAAGCUGUACACUUACAAUUUGUCAUUUUGUUUAGGGUUAUUAAAGUUUAUAGGAGGCCAUUGUUUUGGACCAGCCUCCUGCACUGGGCUCCAGCAGACCAGACCCAACCAGAAUGAAGUCGUUUGUGCUAAUGCCAUGUAAUCAAACUUAACUUUGAAAUGAGCCAGUUUUCAAAAAACCAGGAGAUUCCAGUCAACCCUGGUCAGCAUAAUAAGGACGUUUCCUCUGUUUUAAUCCUACAAGGAAAGUAACUUUGAAACCAACAAUCUGCUUUUUGUUCUGUUUCUACUUGCUUCAGCCCUUUUUUCUCUAUAAGGUCAACCUUCUCUGCUGAGCUCAUUGGAACACCCGUUCUAUUUUAUAGAAUGUGAUAUUGACAAAUUCUAGAAUUUCAAAUAAAGGCCAAUUAUAU